UACAGAGGGUGCAAGCGUUAAUCGGAAUUACUGGGCGUAAAGGGUGCGUAGGUGGCAAAAUAAGUUGGAUGUGAAAUACCUGGGCUUAACCUGGGGACUGCAUUUGAGACUGUUUUACUAGAGUACUGUAGAGGAAGGUGGAAUUUCCGGUGUAGCGGUGAAAUGCGUAGAUAUCGGAAGGAACAUCUGUGGCGAAGGCGACUUUCUGGACAGAUACUGACACUGAGGCACGAAAGCAUGGGGAGCAAACAGG
rnacentral:rRNA from 1 species